rnacentral:tRNA from 1 species
GUUAUUGUAGCUUAAAAAUCAAAGCGCGACACUGAAGAUGCCGAGACGGAUUACCCAUUUUCCCGAAAACA